rnacentral:rRNA from 1 species
GAUGAACGCUGGCGGCGUGCUUAACACAUGCAAGUCGAACGGAAAGGCCCUGCUUGCAGGGUAUUCGAGUGGCGAACGGGUGAGUAACACGUGGGUGAUCUGCCCCGUACUCCGGGAUAAGACUGGGAAACUGGGUCUAAUACCGGAUAGGAGCCAUCUUUAGUGUGGUGGUUGGAAAGAUUUUUUGGUGUAGGAUGAGCUCGCGGCCUAUCUGCUUGCUGGUGGGGUAAUGGCCUACCAAGGCGGCGACGGGCAGCCGGCCUGGGAGGGUGUACGGCCACAUUGGGGCUGGGAUACGGGCCAGACUCCUACGGGAGGCAGCAGGGGGGAAUAUUGCACAAUGGGCGCAAGCCUGAUGCAGCGACGCCGCGUGGGGGAUUAAGGCCUUCGGGUUGUAAACUCCUUUCGCUAUGGACGAAGCUUUUUGUGACGGUACCUAGUAAAGAAGCACCGGCUAACUACGUG